CAGUAGCCACGGGAAAACGAAGGGGGCUAGCGUUACUCGGAAUUACUGGGCGUAAAGGGCGCGUAGGCGGCGCUCCAAGUUAGGCGUGAAAGUCCUGGGCUCAACCUGGGAACUGCGCUUAAGACUGGAGUGCUUGAGGAUGGAAGAGGGUUGUGGAAUUCCCAGUGUAGAGGUGAAAUUCGUAGAUAUUGGGAAGAACACCGGUGGCGAAGGCGGCAACCUGGUCCAUUACUGACGCUGAGGCGCGACAGCGUGGGGAGCAAACAGGAUUAGAUACCCGCGUAGUCCCUGUCUCUUAUAC
rnacentral:rRNA from 1 species